rnacentral:lncRNA from 1 species
UCGCCGCCGAUGCGACGCGAGGAAGCUAGCACCAACUCGCCAAGCCUCUGCAGCUCCAUCCAAGCACCGCCAUCCAUUGGCCUUCCCAACCGGCGCCACUGCCCUUACGCCUUCCCGUCCGGUGCCGCCGCUCCGCCUCCCCGUCCAAGCGUUCUCCGUUCCGGUUCCGUGCAGCUGCCGUCGUUCCGUCUUCCCAUCGACGAGCCUCCCCUCCGACGCCUCUCCACGUCCUUGAAUCUGCAACGGCGCCUCCAGCCUCCGCCUCAGCUGCCACCUCCA